UUCCAUCCAUUAGCUCCUCAUGCUGCCAAAAGCCAAAAGCCAAAAACAAUGGAAAUCAGACAAUGUGCAAGGUCUUCUUGUUCGUGAACCAUAGUAUCUUAUCUGAAUCUUGCAAUGUCGAUGGUGUAACCUGUGGCAGCAUGUUUGUUGUUAUGGCUGUUUUCUACAUUUGUCUGGAAAGCACCCAGCUGAGAAAUAGAGUUCCAGUUUCAGUGACAUGAAGAGUGUGAAGUGAAUAACCUGCCAUGAGCAUGUACUAGAUCUGCUUGAUGAAAGUCAAAUGCCUUACUGAAUUCGUCACCCAAAUGAUAAAGAACUAUUUGUGACGUCCCAUAAGAUCGCGAGUCCGCCACCAGUUUCAAUCUACAACGCAGUUUCUUCGUGGAAUCGUGAGGUCCUGGCCUGGCACGGAGAUCCUUGAGUCAAUGCUGGAUUUGUCCAUGACAGAAGAGGGACUUCUACCAACGUUCGGAUCCUUAUCUUCACGACGUACGCUGCUUCUUGUGCUUCACUGGCGAAUAAGAUCACUUCAGUGUUCGCUUCCGUCCGCUGUGAAAUACCUGCAGUCACUCGCCACGGGAUUAUGUCCAGGUAAUGCAGAAGAGACGUCGAGAAGAUGGAUUUUCUCAUCUUUAACAAUCGUCACCGGUCUCCGUCGGAUGUAGCCCCUGCUCCUGGUGCGAACGAAACUCGGUGGAGUGAAU